ensembl:misc_RNA 7SK 7SK RNA
AGAUAUGAGGGGAUCUAGCUAUGACAUCUGUCAUAGAUGGAUCACCUGGGUUGCUGGGCUGAUCACCUGGGUUGAUUGGGCUGACCUGGCUGCCUAGGUGGCCUGUCCCCUACCUCCCUCACCACUCCCUGUGUGCGUCCCAGAAGCUGUGUGCUUGGUCGAGGAGGACAACCUUCCCCCACAGAGGAGGGCUGUUCUGUCAAGGGAUAGCCGUGGCUGCUAGAACCUCCAAAUAAGUGGUGAAAUUCUUAUUUUCAUAGAAGAAAAUCAGCUUAAAAUUAGAGAUUUAUUAUUUGAAGCCAACUGUAAA